rnacentral:tRNA from 4 species
GGGCAGUUUCCGGAGCGGUCAAACGGGGCUGACUGUAAAUCAGCUGGGAAACCUACGGGGGUUCGAAUCCCUCACUGCCCACCA